GAUGAACGCUAGCGACAGGCCUAACACAUGCAAGUCGAGGGGCAGCACUUCGGGUGGCGACCGGCGCACGGGUGAGUAACGCGUAUGUAACCUGCCCUCAGGUGGGGGAUAGCCCAUCGAAAGAUGGAUUAAUACCGCAUGACGUCGAAUGACAGCAUUAGAUUUCGACCAAAGAUUCAUUGCCUGGGGAUGGACAUGCGUCCUAUUAGCUAGUUGGCGGGGCAACGGCCCACCAAGGCGACGAUAGGUAGGGGUUCUGAGAGGAAGGUCCCCCACAUUGGUACUGAGACACGGACCAAACUCCUACGGGAGGCAGCAGUGAGGAAUAUUGGUCAAUGGGCGGAAGCCUGAACCAGCCAAGUCGCGUGAAGGAGGACGGCCCUAUGGGUUGUAAACUUCUUUAGCAGCAGAGUAAUAAGGGGGUCGUGACCCCCGAUGCAAGUAUGCUGAGAAUAAGGAUCGGCUAACUCCGUGCCAGCAGCCGCGGUAAUACGGAGGAUCCGAGCGUUAUCCGGAUUUAUUGGGUUUAAAGGGUGCGCAGGCGGCUUGUUAAGUCAGCGGUCAAAUCGCGGGGCUCAACCCCGCUCCGCCGUUGAUACUGGCGAGCUUGAUUGUGGUCGAGGUUGGCGGAAUUCGUCGUGUAGCGGUGAAAUGCAUAGAUAUGACGAAGAACCCCGAUUGCGUAGGCAGCUGACCAGGCCACAAAUGACGCUCAGGCACGAAAGUGCGGGGAUCGAACAGGAUUAGAUACCCUGGUAGUCCAUGCAGUAAACGAUGAGCGCCCGCCCUGCGCGAGAUAUCGUGCGGGGCUUAGGGAAACCGUUAAGCGCUCCACCUGGGGAGUACGCCGGCAACGGUGAAACUCAAAGGAAUUGACGGGGGCCCGCACAAGCGGAGGAACAUGUGGUUUAAUUCGAUGAUACGCGAGGAACCUUACCCGGGCUUGAAAUCAGGAGGAGCAGGUUGGAGACAGCCUGGCCCGCAAGGGCCUCCUGGUAGGUGCUGCAUGGUUGUCGUCAGCUCGUGCCGUGAGGUGUUGGCUCAAGUGCCAUAACGAGCGCAACCCCCGCCGCCAGUUGCCACCGGGUCGAGCCGGGCACUCUGGCGGGACUGCCGCCGCAAGGUGCGAGGAGGGUGGGGAUGACGUCAAAUCAGCACGGCCCUUACGUCCGGGGCGACACACGUGUUACAAUGGCGGUUACAGAGGGAUGCCACCCAGCGAUGGGGAGCCAAUCUCGAAAAGCCGCCUCAGUUCGGACUGGAGUCUGCAACCCGACUCCACGAAGCUGGAUUCGCUAGUAAUCGCGCAUCAGCCAUGGCGCGGUGAAUACGUUCCCGGGCCU
rnacentral:rRNA from 1 species